rnacentral:rRNA from 1 species
ACUCAAAUGAAUAGACGGGGGCCCGCACAAGCGGAGGAACAUGUGGUUUAAUUCGAUGAUACGCGAGGAACCUUACCCGGGCUUGAAAUGUACCUGACCGUCCUUGAAAAGGGACUUCUAGCAAUAGCAGGUAUGUAGGUGCUGCAUGGUUGUCGUCAGCUCGUGCCGUGAGGUGUCGGCUUAAGUGCCAUAACGAGCGCAACCCACAUUAUUAGUUACUAACAGGUUAAGCUGAGGACUCUAAUAAGACUGCCGUCGUAAGAUGCGAGGAAGGUGUGGAUGACGUCAAAUCAGCACGGCCCUUACGUCCGGGGCGACACACGUGUUACAAUGGGAGGUACAAAGGGCUGCUACCUGGUGACAGGAUGCUAAUCCCCAAAGCCUCUCCCAGUUCGGAUCGGAGUCUGCAACUCGACUCCGUGAAGCUGGAUUCGCUAGUAAUCGCGCAUCAGCCAUGGCGCGGUGAAUACGUUCCCGGGCCUUGUACACACCGCCCGU